rnacentral:rRNA from 1 species
ACGCUGGCGGCACGCCUAACACAUGCAAGUCGAACGCAGUAGCAAUACUGAGUGGCGAACGGGUGAGUAUAAUGUAGGUAUCUGCCCUUUGGUUUGGAAUAACACGAGGAAACUUGUGCUAAUACCGGAUAAGCCUUCACAGGGAAAGCUUUAGCGCCAAAGGAUGAGCCUGCACUUGAUUAGCUAGUUGGUAAGGUAAUGGCUUACCAAGGCUACGAUCAAUAGCUGAUCUGAGAGGAUGAUCAGCCACAUUGGGACUGAGACACGGCCCAGACUCCUACGGGAGGCAGCAGUGGGGAAUCUUGCACAAUGGGGGAAACCCUGAUGCAGCGAUGCCGCGUGAGUGAAGAAGGCCUUUGGGUUGUAAAGCUCUUUCGUCGGGGAAGAAAAUGACUGUACCCGAAUAAGAAGGUCCGGCUAACUUCGUGCCAGCAGCCGCGGUAAUACGAAGGGACCUAGCGUAGUUCGGAAUUACUGGGCUUAAAGAGCUCGUAGGUGGUUAGAAAAGUUAGUGGUGAAAUCCCAAGGCUUAACCUUGGAACUGCCACUAAAACUUUUUAACUAGAGUAUGAUAGAGGUAAGCGGAAUUUCUAGUGUAGAGGUGAAAUUCGUAGAUAUUAGAAAGAACACCAAUUGCGAAGGCAACUUUCUGGAUCAUUACUGACACUGAGGAGCGAAAGCAUGGGUAGCGAAGAGGAUUAGAUACCCUCGUAGUCCAUGCCGUAAACGAUGUGUGCUAGACGUUGGAAAUUUAUUUUUCAGUGUCGCAGCAAAAGCGUUAAGCACACCGCCUGGGGAGUACGACCGCAAGGUUAAAACUCAAAUGAAUUGACGGGGACCCGCACAAGUAGUGGAGCAUGUGGUUUAAUUCGAAGAUACGCGCAGAACCUUACCAACACUUGACAUGUUCGUCGCGACUCUAAGAGAUUAGAGUUUUCGGUUCGGCCGGACGAAACACAGGUGCUGCAUGGCUGUCGUCAGCUCGUGUCGUGAGAUGUUGGGUUAAGUCCCGCAACGAGCGCAACCCUUACUUUUAGUUGCCACCAUUUAGUUGAGCACUCUAAAGAACUGCCAGUGAUAAGCUGGAGGAAGGUGGGGAUGACGUCAAGUCCUCAUGGCCCUUACGUGUUGGGCUACACACGUGCUACAAUGGUACUUACAGUGAGAUGCUAAGACGCGAGUCUAAGCCAAUCCCUAAAAGGUACCUCAGUUCGGAUUGUACUCUGCAACUCGAGCACAUGAAGCUGGAAUUACUAGUAAUCGUGGAUCAGCGCGCCACGGUGAAUACGUUCCCGGGUCUUGUACACACCGCCCGUCACACCAUGGAAGUUGGUUACACCUUAAGGCAAAGCGUCAAACCUUUGACUACGGUACGAUCAGCGACUGGGGUGAAGUCGUAACAAGGUAGCCGUAGGGGAACCUGCGGCUGGAUCACCUCCUUUCU